rnacentral:rRNA from 1 species
GACCCGAAACCAGGUGAUCUACCCUUGGUCAGGUUGAAGUUCAGGUAACACUGAAUGGAGGACCGAACCGACUUACGUUGAAAAGUGAGCGGAUGAACUGAGGGUAGCGGAGAAAUUCCAAUCGAACUUGGAGAUAGCUGGUUCUCUCCGAAAUAGCUUUAGGGCUAGCCUCAAGUGAUGAUUAUUGGAGGUAGAGCACUGUUUGGACGAGGGGCCCCUCUCGGGUUACCGAAUUCAGACAAACUCCGAAUGCCAAAUAAUUUAACUUGGGAGUCAGAAUGUGGGUGAUAAGGUCCAUAUUCGAAAGGGAAACAGCCCAGACCACCAGCUAAGGUCCCAAAAUAUAUGUUAAGUGGAAAAGGAUGUGGCGUUGCCCAGACAACUAGGAUGUUGGCUUAGAAGCAGCCAUCAUUUAAAGAGUGCGUAAUAGCUCACUAGUCGAGUGACACUGCGCCGAAAAUGUACCGGGGCUAAACAUAUUACCGAAGCUGUGGAUUGUCCUUUGGACAAUGGUAGGAGAGCGUUCUAAGGGCGUUGAAGCAUGAUCGCAAGGACAUGUGGAGCGCUUAGAAGUGAGAAUGCCGGUGUGAGUAGCGAAAGACGGGUGAGAAUCCCGUCCACCGAUUGACUAAGGUUUCCAGAGGAAGGCUCGUCCGCUCUGGGUUAGUCGGGUCCUAAGCUGAGGCCGACAGGCGUAGGCGAUGGAUAACAGGUUGAUAUUCCUGUACCACCAUUAUUCGUUUUAAGCGAUGGGGGGACGCAGUAGGAUAGGCGAAGCGUGCUGUUGGAGUGCACGUCCAAGCAGUGAGAUUGAGUGUUAGGCAAAUCCGGCACUCUUAAGAUUGAGCUGUGAUGGGGAGAGGAACUUGUUCCUCGAGUCGUUGAUUUCACACUGCCGAGAAAAGCCUCUAGCUAGAAUAACGGUGCCCGUACCGCAAACCGACACAGGUAGUCAAGAUGAGAAUUCUAAGGUGAGCGAGCGAACUCUCGUUAAGGAACUCGGCAAAAUGACCCCGUAACUUCGGGAGAAGGGGUGCUCUUUGAGGUUCACGCUUCGAAGAGCCGCAGUGAAUAGGCCCAAGCGACUGUUUAUCAAAAACACAGGUCUCUGCUAAACCGUAAGGUGACGUAUAGGGGCUGACGCCUGCCCGGUGCUGGAAGGUUAAGAGGAGUGGUUAGCGCAAGCGAAGCUACGAAUCGAAGCCCCAGUAAACGGCGGCCGUAACUAUAACGGUCCUAAGGUAGCGAAAUUCCUUGUCGGGUAAGUUCCGACCCGCACGAAAGGCGUAACGAUUUGGGCACUGUCUCAACGAGAGACUCGGUGAAAUCAUAGUACCGGUGAAGAUGCCGGUUACCCGCGACAGGACGGAAAGACCCCGUGGAGCUUUACUGUAGCCUGAUAUUGAAAUUCGGUACAGUUUGUACAGGAUAGGUAGGAGCCUUAGAAGCGUGAGCGCUAGCUUACGUGGAGGCAUUGGUGGGAUACUACCCUAAUUGUAUUGGAUUUCUAACCCGCAGCACUUAUCGUGCUGGGAGACAGUGUCAGGCGGGCAGUUUGACUGGGGCGGUCGCCUCCUAAAGAGUAACGGAGGCGCUCAAAGGUUCCCUCAGAAUGGUUGGAAAUCAUUCAUAGAGUGUAAAGGCAUAAGGGAGCUUGACUGCGAGACCUACAAGUCGAGCAGGGUCGAAAGACGGACUUAGUGAUCCGGUGGUUCCGCAUGGAAGGGCCAUCGCUCAACGGAUAAAAGCUACCCCGGGGAUAACAGGCUUAUCUCCCCCAAGAGUUCACAUCGACGGGGAGGUUUGGCACCUCGAUGUCGGCUCAUCGCAUCCUGGGGCUGUAGUCGGUCCCAAGGGUUGGGCUGUUCGCCCAUUAAAGCGGUACGCGAGCUGGGUUCAGAACGUCGUGAGACAGUUCGGUCCCUAUCCGUCGUGGGCGUAGGAAAUUUGAGAGGAGCUGUCCUUAGUACGAGAGGACCGGGAUGGACAUACCUCUGGUGUACCAGUUGUCGUGCCAACGGCAUAGCUGGGUAGCUAUGUAUGGACGGGAUAAGUGCUGAAAGCAUCUAAGCAUGAAGCCCCCCUCGAGAUGAGAUUUCCCAACUUCGGUUAUAAG